UACAGAGGGGGCAAGCGUUGUUCGGAAUUACUGGGCGUAAAGGGCGCGUAGGCGGCCCGCUAAGUCGAACGUGAAAUCCCCGGGCUCAACCCGGGAACUGCGUCCGAUACUGGCAGGCUUGAAUCCGGGAGAGGGAUGCGGAAUUCCAGGUGUAGCGGUGAAAUGCGUAGAUAUCUGGAGGAACACCGGUGGCGAAGGCGACGUCCUGGACCGGCAUUGACGCUGAGGCGCGAAAGCCAGGGGAGCAAAGCGGG
rnacentral:rRNA from 1 species